rnacentral:lncRNA from 1 species
AACCAGGCCCUCACCAUGUGAUCCUACCUUGUUCAGUUUGGAAAAUAACUCAUAAGAAAGCUAAUUAAAAAAAAAAAAAAAACAGCAGUUUCCUUAAGGCCCCAGAUGGAAUGUCUUCUCAGAAGCAAAGCAUAUUCAUUGCAGAAGAAAAUAAUGAAAUACAGAUCAGUGAAAACAAAAGAGAAACAUCCAUAAUUCACCCUAUCAAAGAUAUCCAUUGUCAUCUUCCAGACUCUUUGUUGUGAAGCGGUCUAGAAGCCUCAGUGGUGAUGUU